AAGAUCAUACUUUUAUGGAUCAUUUCUAUAGUAUGUAUCUUGAAAACGUCGUCAUAUUUUGACGAUACGAUGACGUGCUAAGUAGU
rfam:Ciona intestinalis ciona0023, whole genome shotgun sequence.